UUACAUCAGAAGUCUUGGAACCAAAGAGAAGCAGAUAAACACCGUUCAAAACAGCUAAUAUGUUAAGCAAGAGAAACAUGAGAGAGUCCCUUCGAACUCCAUCUGGCGGAAGAGGUUCAAGAGGCGGUUGGCGAAGAAUAGGGAUGAGAGCAGCGAAGGAGACGAUAAGAGGUAUAAGGGCGUUUAAGAGAAGGUAUAGCUGUGUGGAGAUAGGAUUGAUUGCGUUGUAAGCAAGAGUGUAUAACGCAGCACUUACGCCGUUGAAGCUGACUGUGAGGGAAAGCGCAAGUGAUCUGUUUGCAGGGAAGUUUCUGAUGCAGAGCACAAAGCAGACUGUGUUAAACCAACAGAUACUUAGCCCAGCUAACAAGCAACACAGAAACACCUGCCACAAAAUCACAAAAACAUACUUAAUCCCAAGAUAUAUCCGAGACAUUGUGAUCAAGAAUUAUAUAAAAAUCCAAGAAAGUCAUUCCUCGAAAGAAAAUAUUCAGAAAUUAAAAUAUUUUAUUGACCAGCUAAGUGGAAGAUAAAUAAAAAAAAGGGAAUCAUUCAACCAUAAUACUCUUAUCUUAAAAUUCAAUAUAUAUAUUUUUUUUUAUCACAUGACAAAGAUCCUCCCAUGUCUACUCAACAAAAACAAGAAUAGUUCAGAAUGCAAGAAAGUCAAUUUGUAAAAGAUUUUUGGCCAGAGAGACAAAAGAAUAAAACUAUAAGAAACGAAGAUCCGAUAACAAGAAACUGAAGGUUCUCGAGAUAGCCAUCGUCAGAUCCCACAGACAAAGCAGAAGCAAGCCAAAGAAAGUCACGUGCGACGAACCAGUCAAAUGAAAAUUCAUUUCUAAACUACCAUACUAGUCAUCACCAACUCUUCUUCCAAACUUCCAAAUCUUGAUUUCAUCUCAUUUACAACCAGAAAAGAAAACAUUUUUACAUAGAAAAACAGAAGUGUGAAUACUAACAAACCUGGUCCUAUGUACUUAGCGGUCAAAUGCAUUAAAAAGUUUUUGCCCAUAAACUACCAUAAAAAAACAGAAUAUAAUUUUCAAAAAUCAAGAUUUAGCUAUCAUGAACUUUCUUGAAAGCAUCAAACUGAUUCACCGAUUAAACAAGAUAGACACCGAUAAGCUCAAGAAACUGAAAUGUUGAGGAAAUUAUAUUACCAGAAUGUAGGGCAAAGAAAUAACGUUAGUGAUGACGAGCCACUGAACACCAUAACCAACGAACCCCAUUAUCGCCGCCGCGAAGAGAACCGUCCAGAGAGGGAAGUACAGUAGCGCAAGUCCCGAAGACCAUCCGAAAACUUUGCCGAGAUCCGAAGCGACGGCUAGAUAGUUCAGCUGUACCUGUGAGAUCCCUAGAACCGAUUUCAAAUCCGACGAGUACGUCGAGAAAUCGAAAUUCGUACCGGUGAAAGCUUGAAUCCAGAUCGUCGCCACUAGAAUCAUCCACUUCCUCGAUUGUCCCGCCAUCUCUUUCAAAUCUCCUACGUUGGUUCCUAAAUCUCAGGAGCUUUUUGCUUUUUUUUCUUUUUUAUUUGUGUUCUCUCGAUGAUGUGUUUGGUAGUGGAAGAGCAUGAUUAUUGGGUUUCUUAGACUGAAGUUUUUAUCGAAAUAUAAUAACCCUGUUAAUUUUUAACUAAAAAAACUAAGAACUCUCUUUUAAAACUCUUAUUUAAGAACCGGUUCUUACUUUUUUUAGUUGAAAGUUAAUAGACGGAUUCUUAUAUUCCGCUAAGAACUCCACCCUAAGAACCUCCCAAUAAUCAUGCUCUUAGUGAAGCUUUGCUCUCUAAUGCAAAAACGAAUCAUAAUGGUUUACGUGGCUGGCAUCGGUAGAUGAGGUGUAAACCGGGUUGGAAUUGAUUUUAUUUGGUUUGCUUUGUUUGAUUGUAAAUUGAGCCCUUGAACCAAUAUGAAUUUUCUUUUCGACGACGAACCAAUAUAAUUUAUCUUCAUGAUUGAUAAGUUCACAGUGAUUUGGAUUUGGUAUUAAUGAAUACAUCAUCGUUUAGCAACUGAUAGCCUUCGAGGCUGGCUUCACGUGUGGCCAUUCCUUUAUGUAUCUCAAGCUCAUCCACAUCAACAAGAAUGAAACCGGAACCUUCUAAACGGAAACUGGAGUGGACGUUAUGGAGAUACCAAUUACGAGCGUAGACUAGACCGGGAAGGCAUAAGGGGAGAAUCAAGAGAAGAAUAGAUCCACCAAAGAGCAGACGAGCUGAGGUUACAUCAGAAGUCUUGGAACCAAAGAGAAGCAGAUAAACACCGUUCAAAACCGCUAAUAUGUUAAGCAAGAGAAACAUGAGAGAGUCCCUACGAACUCCAUCUGGUGGAAGAGGUUCAAGAGGCGGUUGGCGAAGAAUAGGGAUGAGAGCAGCGAAGGAGACGAUAAGAGGUAUAAGGGCGUUUAAGAGAAGGUAUAGCUGUGUGGAGAUAGGAUUGAUUGCGUUGUAAGCAAGAGUGUAUAACGCAGCACUUACGCCGUUGAAGCUGACUGUGAGGGAAAGCGCAAGUGAUCUGUU
rnacentral:lncRNA from 1 species